rnacentral:rRNA from 1 species
UACGUAGGGGGCAAGCGUUGUCCGGAAUUAUUGGGCGUAAAGCGCGCGCAGGCGGUCUCUUAAGUCUGAUGUGAACGCCCACGGCUCAACCGUGGAGGGUCAUUGGAAACUGGGAGACUGGAGUAUAGGAGAGGAAAGUGGAAUUCCACGUGUAGCGGUGAAAUGCGUAGAGAUGUGGAGGAACACCAGUGGCGAAGGCGACUGUCUGGCCUAUUACUGACGCUGAGGCGAGAAAGCGUGGGGAGCGAACAGG